CCUACGGGAGGCAGCAGUGAGGAAUAUUGGUCAAUGGACGAGAGUCUGAACCAGCCAAGUAGCGUGAAGGAUGACUGCCCUAUGGGUUGUAAACUUCUUUUAUAUGGGAAUAAAACGUUCCACGUGUGGGAUUUUGUAUGUACCAUAUGAAUAAGGAUCGGCUAACUCCGUGCCAGCAGCCGCGGUAAUACGGAGGUUCCGAGCGUUAUCCGGAUUUAUUGGGUUUAAAGGGAGCGUAGGUGGAUUGUUAAGUCAGUUGUGAAAGUUUGCGGCUCAACCGUAAAAUUGCAGUUGAAACUGGCAGUCUUGAGUACAGUAGAGGUGGGCGGAAUUCGUGGUGUAGCGGUGAAAUGCUUAGAGAUCACGAAGAACACCGAUUGCGAAGGCAGUUCACUGGACUGCAACUGACACUGAGGCUCGAAAGUGUGGGUAUCAAACAGGAUUAGAUACCCGAGUAGUC
rnacentral:rRNA from 1 species